AUUCUUUUAGUAUUAAAUAGUACAACUGACUUCCAAUCAGUAAGUUUUGGCAACACCCAAAAAAGAAUA